UACGUAGGGUGCAGGCGUUAAUCGAAAUUACUGGGCGUAAAGCGUGCGCAGGCGGUUUGCUAAGACAGGUGUGAAAUCCCCGGGCUUAACCUGGGAACUGCGCUUGUUACUGGCAGGCUUGAGUGUGGCAGAGGGGGGUGGAAUUCCACGUGUAGCAGUGAAAUGCGUAGAGAUGUGGAGGAACACCGAUGGCGAAGGCAGCCCCCUGGGCUAACACUGACGCUCAUGCACGAAAGCGUGGGGAGCAAACAGG
rnacentral:rRNA from 1 species